rnacentral:tRNA from 1 species
GUUUUGGUGGUUCAGUGGUAGAAUUCUCACUUUCCACAUGGGAGACCUGGGUUAGAUUCCCAGCCACUCCA